rnacentral:rRNA from 1 species
UACGUAGGCAGCGAGCGUUGUUCGGAAUUACUGGGCGUAAAGAGUGUGUAGACGGUGCUCUAAGUUCGGUGUGAAAUCUCCCGCUUAACUGGGAGGGUGCGCCGGAAACUGGAGUGCUCGAGCGUGGGAGAGGAAAGCGGAAUUCCUGGUGUAGCGGUGAAAUGCGUAGAUAUCAGGAGGAACACCUGCGGUGUAGACGGCUUUCUGGACCAUUGCUGACGCUGAGACACGAAAGCGUGGGUAGCAAACAGG